AGAGUUUGAUCAUGGCUCAGGACGAACGCUGGCGGCGUGCUAAUACAUGCAAGUAGAACGCUGAAGAAAGGAGCUUGCUUCUUUUGGAUGAGUUGCGAACGGGUGAGUAACGCGUAGGUAACCUGCCUUGUAGCGGGGGAUAACUAUUGGAAACGAUAGCUAAUACCGCAUAACAGCUUUUGACACAUGUUAGAAGCUUGAAAGAUGCAAUUGCAUCACUACGAGAUGGACCUGCGUUGUAUUAGCUAGUAGGUAGGGUAACGGCCUACCUAGGCGACGAUACAUAGCCGACCUGAGAGGGUGAUCGGCCACACUGGGACUGAGACACGGCCCAGACUCCUACGGGAGGCAGCAGUAGGGAAUCUUCGGCAAUGGGGGCAACCCUGACCGAGCAACGCCGCGUGAGUGAAGAAGGUUUUCGGAUCGUAAAGCUCUGUUGUAAGAGAAGAACGUGUGUGAGAGUGGAAAGUUCACACAGUGACGGUAACUUACCAGAAAGGGACGGCUAACUACGUGCCAGCAGCCGCGGUAAUACGUAGGUCCCGAGCGUUGUCCGGAUUUAUUGGGCGUAAAGCGAGCGCAGGCGGUUUAAUAAGUCUGAAGUUAAAGGCAGUGGCUUAACCAUUGUUCGCUUUGGAAACUGUUAAACUUGAGUGCAGAAGGGGAGAGUGGAAUUCCAUGUGUAGCGGUGAAAUGCGUAGAUAUAUGGAGGAACACCGGUAGCGAAAGCGGCUCUCUGGUCUGUAACUGACGCUGAGGCUCGAAAGCGUGGGGAGCAAACAGGAUUAGAUACCCUGGUAGUCCACGCCGUAAACGAUGAGUGCUAGGUGUUAGGCCCUUUCCGGGGCUUAGUGCCGCAGCUAACGCAUUAAGCACUCCGCCUGGGGAGUACGACCGCAAGGUUGAAACUCAAAGGAAUUGACGG
rnacentral:rRNA from 1 species